rnacentral:sRNA from 1 species
GAUCCAGUGGAGACGCAGUGGGGCCUGUAGCUCAGAGGAUUAGAGCACGUGGCUACGAACCACGGUGUCGGGGGUUCGAAUCCCUCAUCGCCCAC